rnacentral:lncRNA from 1 species
CGGUAAAGUCUUGCUUCUUCUUUAAGGGAUUUGCAGUGUUUUGAGUAGGCUGCUGGUUAGAGCUUUGUUCAGCUGCUCUAAAAACCCUGCCUCUUGAGUUGUAGUUCAUGUUUCCUCUACCCCUAUAGUUGUUUUACUUGCCAUAACUAACUUGUUAAGCAGUGAAAGUAGUGUUAUGGUUGACUUGUUGAGGUUUUUCUCCAUCCAUCAUCUUCUCUG